UACUGCUCUGAUUUCUUCCCAGGAUAGCAGCUUCCUGGUCUGGGAGGUACCACUCAAGACUGACUGCUUUGUUCCCAAGGAUGAUUUCAUCUGGAACCAGGCUGUUCUGUCAUUGAUCGAAACUGGCUUUCUGGAGCAUUGUGCUGUGCCUCUGUGAUCUUGCUGGGCACCCCAUUCUGGAAGCUCAGUUCCCCUCCCAGUUGGCACACAGCUUCUCAUUUCCUCAGCCUUCUGUUCAUGAUUGAUGGAUCAGAUAGAGGAUGAUGUUGACUCCAUCUGGAAAGUGAGUCAGCCAGUCUUUGAGGAGACCUACUGGAGGCCUAGAAACAGUGCUCUGAACACAGACUCCAUUAGUUUAGAGACUGAUAGGGAAGGGAAAAUGGGACUGGCUUCUCAGUGGAAUCAAACUUCAGCCUGAAGUGGACUGUCCUCAAAAAUGAAGGCUCAUUAGAGUGUGAAUAACACCUGUUAUUAACACAAAUAUCUAGUUGAAGGCAGUCACUGAAAACGCUUUCUGAUCUCAGAUACCUCCCCAAGAGGACUGAGUGCUGAAACUUUCCACAAGUAAUUUGUUGGCCCAUUGGGCUAAGUCAGUCACAAAAGCUGACUGUGCCACUGAGGAAGAGAAAUACACUGGUGCCCUAUUGGAACCUUUACACCGCUGUUUUGUCUGAUGCGUCAGCCAACGAAUUGCAAAGGGCGAGGGGGCUCAGGUAGCCCAUGAGGAUCAUACAUUUGGGGACAAGGCCACAGAAGCAAUGAAAACAGUGAUUUCUUCCCUUCCCUUCUGGCCGUCUCUCCUCUACUCCUGAAGAGGCAAGCCAGCAAGUCAGCCACCCCCUCCCUUUUAACUCUCAGGUUCAGACACGCCCUUGGUUGCCCAGGUAAUGACCCAUUGACAUGGAGAUGAACUUCUCUCCACCCCUGAGGAUAUGCAAAUGAACUAAAGCCAGAAUGUUGUGGAGGGCCAGAUGUGAUGUCACCCCAGAAGUGACAUCACCAGAUCCACCAGGGAAUAAUAUCAACAGAAAAUGAUAUCACCAGAAGUGAGAUCACCAGAAACAGAAGUAACUGCAUCAGAUAUGAGAUCAGUCCACAAGUGACAUCAUUAUGAGCUUGUGUAUAUAAGUGGUGCUCUGAAAAUAAACUGUAUCACUUGUCCACCAUGCGUGAACAGUGAAC